GGCGUGCCUAACACAUGCAAGUCGAACGGUAACAGGUCUUCGGAUGCUGACGAGUGGCGCACGGGUGAGUAACGCGUGGAUAUCUGCCUAUUAGUGGGGGACAACUUUCGGAAACGGAAGCUAAUACCGCAUAAUCUCUACGGAGGAAAGCAGGGGACCUUUCGGGGCCUUGUGCUGAUAGAUGAGUCCGCGUCUGAUUAGCUAGUUGGUAGGGUAAAGGCCUACCAAGGCGAUGAUCAGUAUCUGGUUUGAGAGGAUGAUCAGACACACUGGAACUGAGACACGGUCCAGACUUCUACGGAAGGCAGCAGUGGGGAAUAUUGCACAAUGGGGGAAACCCUGAUGCAGCGACGCCGCGUGUGGGAAGAAGGCUUUAGGGUUGUAAACCACUUUCAAUUGGGAAGAAGAGAUGAGUACUAAUAUUAUUCUGAUUUGACGGUACCUUUAGAAGAAGCACCGGCUAAUUUCGUGCCAGCAGCCGCGGUAAUACGAAAGGUGCAAGCGUUGUUCGGAUUUACUGGGCGUAAAGCGAGUGUAGGUUGUUUAUUAAGUCGGAUGUGAAAUCCCAGGGCUCAACCCUGGAACUGCAUUCGAUACUGAUAGGCUAGAGUUCGGGAGGGGUAAGCGGAAUUCCGUGUGUAGCAGUGAAAUGCGUAGAUAUACGGAGGAACACCUGAGGCGAAGGCGGCUUACUGGACCGAUACUGACACUGAGACUCGAAAGCGUGGGUAGCAAACAGGAUUAGAUACCCUGGUAGUCCACGCCCUAAACGAUGUCAACUAGCCGUUGCGGGUAUCGACCCCUGCAGUGGCGAAGCUAACGCGAUAAGUUGACCGCCUGGGGAGUAC
rnacentral:rRNA from 1 species